UCAUCUUAAAGACUUCAAAGAGGUAACUAGC
rnacentral:piRNA from 1 species